UUCUGCAAGUAUGACGUUUCAAAGACCGUUAACGUUAAAUUUAAUCGAACACUAUAUAUAUAUAUGUAUAUGUAUAUGUUAUUAAUUUAAGGUAGAGUACAAUUUAUAUGGAGACUGUAUGAAAUACUGCAAGCAACUGCUGGCGGCUUCUGCUGGUGGCGAAAAAAAACAACAAAAAACAACAACAAGCUUACAGUGUGACCCACUUGCGCUUGGUACGUUUAGGAAUUGGGCCACGCACAGCUGAUGUGAGUCCGUGUUAUGCAGCCCGAAUUAUUUUGCUUUUAUCCAAAAAAUUGUUCAAUGAAAAUUUGAGUUUAAUUACCGUUUCGGAAUUUCCAGGCCUGCUUUGCUAGCAAUGUGCGAGUCCCACUCUCCACUGAUUUACGAACACUGGAUCCCCACACACGCUACGACUUGCAGGCGCAUGGCGAUAGUAAUCGAUAUAUAGCAUCAAUAAUUAUUUUAGUUUGUUGCGGCCUGCUGGACGACAUAUUUAAGCAUGUAUGGCGAUAGAAAUCGGUUUAUAACGACAAAAUAUUUACCGCUAUGAUGGGGCUCUCUCUUGGCGCACUUUUCAAUACAAACUUUUUUUAGUUGAAAUUAGAGAAUAGUUAUUUUACAUGGUUAUACAAUACAACACACUAAAAUCGGGAGGUGACCCUCUAUCGAUGACCCAAAAAUAAUUAUUACGCCUAUUUAGAGGCGUAGCACAUCGAAAAAUAUUCGCAUUUUUUUAGCUUAAACGUCCAGUACAGUUAUGCUACUUUUGGCUCAUUCUAUAAACUGGCCAAAAAUUGUGUGUCUACGCCUAGUGAGGGUGUAGCAAAUCGGGAAAACUUAAUUUUCUACAGUAUUAAAGCAGGAAACUCAAAACUUAGCG